rnacentral:piRNA from 1 species
GCUGAGAUACAUGUCACUGUUGG